rnacentral:rRNA from 1 species
UACGAGUGCCUCGAGCGUUAUCCGGAAUCAUUGGGCGUAAAGGGUGUGUAGGUGGUCGCGUUAGUCUCUCGUUAAAUUCUUCGGCUUAACCGGGGGUCUGCGGGGGAAACGGCGCGACUUGAGGAUGCGAGGGGUCUGCGGAACUCAUAGUGUAGCGGUGAAAUGCGUUGAUAUUAUGGGGAACACGAAAAGCGAAGGCAGCAGACUGGAGCACUCCUGACACUGAAACACGAAAGCGUGGGUAGCGAAUGGG